AUGCAUACGAUAAAUGGAACAAGGCAAGUGCACCAAUCAGGAUCGAUCCAGCAGAGCAAGACAGAUGAACCAUUAAUGCAGAGAGGAAACAGUUCCAACAACAGAAGUGAAAAACAUCAAGACCUGAACCAGGGCAGUGGCCGAGUGAACUCAAAAGAAAGAAGGGAGGAAAGAAGACUUGGAUGUGAGCCAGAUGGAGGAGAACUGAAGAAGUCUGUCAGCAAGCCCUCAGUGUUGUCUCAGCAAGAGUUCAGAACCUUGGCAGCUAAAGGUGGUUCCAAUAUCCAGACUUGCCUUCCUCGUGGUCCUUCCGGAGAUCCAGUGCAUCACACCUCCUCGGAGAUACCAGCACCUGCCAGGCAGCUCCUUUGCCCAGAGUAUGGGUCUCUGGCUUCUCUGGGCUCCAGAAAUCUGGAGGCUUCCUUGCCUCAAUGGGCUGAGUCCCAGUUCUGCAAGUUUCUCCUCCAAGUUCCCACCUUUUAG
rnacentral:lncRNA from 1 species